rnacentral:rRNA from 1 species
UACGGGGGGGAGCAAGCGUUUGUUCGGAUUUACUGGGCGUAAAGGGCGCGUAGGCGGUCGUGACAAGUCACUUGUGAAAUCUCCGGGCUUAACUCGGAACGGUCAAGUGAUACUGUCGGACUAGAGUACAGAAGGGGGCAACUGGAAUUCUCGGUGUAGCGGUGAAAUGCGUAGAUAUCGGGGAGGAACACCGGUGGCGAAGGCGGCGACCUGGGUUGACACUGACGCUGAGGCGCGAAAGCGUGGGGAGCAAACAGG